GGGGAAUUUUCCGCAAUGGGCGAAAGCCUGACGGAGCAAUACCGCGUGCGGGAGGAAGGCCUUUGGGUCGUAAACCGCUUUUAACAGGGAAGAAGAUCUGACGGUACCUGUUGAAUAAGCCUCGGCUAACUCCGUGCCAGCAGCCGCGGUAAGACGGAGGAGGCAAGCGUUAUCCGGAAUUAUUGGGCGUAAAGCGUCCGCAGGUGGCCUUUCAAGUCUGCUGUUAAAGCCCAGGGCUCAACUCUGGAUCAGCAGUGGAAACUGAAAGGCUAGAGUACGGUAGGGGUAGAGGGAAUUCCCAGUGUAGCGGUGAAAUGCGUAGAUAUUGGGAAGAACACCAGUGGCGAAGGCGCUCUGCUGGGCCGUAACUGACACUCAUGGACGAAAGCUAGGGGAGCGAAAGGGAUUAGAUACCCCUGUAGUCA
rnacentral:rRNA from 1 species